rnacentral:rRNA from 1 species
UACGGAGGAUGCAAGCGUUAUCCGGAUUUAUUGGGUUUAAAGGGUGCGCAGGUUGUUUGAUAAGUCAGUGGUGAAAGUCUGUCGCUUAACGGUAGGAUUGCCAUUGAUACUGUUAGACUUGAAUAUGGAUGAGGUAGGCGGAAUGUGUAGUGUAGCGGUGAAAUGCUUAGAGAUCACACAGAAUUCCGAUUGCGAAGGCAGCUUACUGGGAUGCAACUGACGCUGAGGCACGAAAGCGUGGGUAUCAAA